rnacentral:rRNA from 1 species
AGUGAACGCUGGCGGUAGGCCUAACACAUGCCAGUCGAACGGCAGCACAGUAAGAGCUUGCUCUUACGGGUGGCGAGUGGCGGACGGGUGAGGAAUACAUCGGAAUCUACUUUUUCGUGGGGGAUAACGUAGGGAGACUUACGCUAAUACCGCAUACGACCUACGGGUGAAAGCAGGGGAUCUUCGGACCUUGCGCGAUUGAAUGAGCCGAUGUCGGAUUAGCUAGUUGGCGGGGUAAAGGCCCACCAAGGCGACGAUCCGUAGCUGGUCUGAGAGGAUGAUCAGCCACACUGGAACUGAGACACGGUCCAGACUCCUACGGGAGGCAGCAGUGGGGAAUAUUGGACAAUGGGCGCAAGCCUGAACCAGCCAUACCGCGUGGGUGAAGAAGGCCUUCGGGUUGUAAAGCCCUUUUGUUGGGAAAGAAAAGCAGCAGGUUAAUACCCCGCUGUUCUGACGGUACCCAAAGAAUAAGCACCGGCUAACUUCGU